rnacentral:rRNA from 1 species
UACAGAGGUCUCAAGCGUUUGUUCGGAUUCAUUGGGCGUAAAGGGUGCGUAGGUGGCGCGGUAAGUCGGGUGUGAAAUCUCGGAGCUUAACUCCGAAAUUGCAUUCGAUACUGCCGUGCUUGAGGACUGGAGAGGAGACUGGAAUUUACGGUGUAGCAGUGAAAUGCGUAGAGAUCGUAAGGAAGACCAGUGGCGAAGGCGGGUCUCUGGACAGUUCCUGACACUGAGGCACGAAGGCCAGGGGAGCAAACGGG